AGCGAACGCUGGCGGCAGGCUUAACACAUGCAAGUCGAACGGUCCUUCGGGAUAGUGGCGGACGGGUGAGUAACACGUGGGAACGUACCCUUAGGUUCGGAACAACACAGGGAAACUUGUGCUAAUACCGGAUAAGGCCUUCGGGGGAAAGAUUUAUCGCCUUUGGAGCGGCCCGCGUCUGAUUAGCUUGUUGGUGAGGUAAUGGCUCACCAAGGUGACGAUCAGUAGCUGGUCUGAGAGGAUGGCCAGCCACACUGGGACUGAGACACGUCCCAGACUCCUACGGGGGGCAGCAGUGGGGAAUCUUGUGCAAUGGGGGAAAGCCUGACGCAGCCAUGCCUCGUGGAUGAUUAAGGUCUGAGGAUUGUAAAAUCCUUUCACCGGGGACGAUAAUGACGUUACCCGGAGAAGAAGCCCCGGCUAACUUCGUGCCAGCCGCCGCAGUAA
rnacentral:rRNA from 1 species